rnacentral:rRNA from 1 species
UACGUAGGCAGCGAGCGUUGUUCGGAAUUACUGGGCGUAAAGGGUGCGUAGGCGGUCCUAUAAGUAUGGUGUGAAAUCUCCCGGCUUAACUGGGAGGGUGCGCUAUAGACUGUGGGACUAGAGUGUGGGAGAGGAAAGUGGAAUUCCUGGUGUAGCGGUGAAAUGCGUAGAUAUCAGGAGGAACACCGGUGGUGUAAACGGCUUUCUGGACCAUAACUGACGCUGAGGCACGAAAGCGUGGGGAGCAAACAGG